rnacentral:misc_RNA from 1 species
GAUGAAGAACGCAGCGAAAUGCGAUAAGUAAUGUGAAUUGCAGAAUUCAGUGAAUCAUCGAAUCUUUGAACGCACAUUGCGCCCGCCAGUAUUCUGGCGGGCAUGCCUGUCCGAGCGUCAUUUCAACCCUCGAACCCCUCCGGGGGGUCGGCGUUGGGGACCUCGGGAGCCCCUAAGACGGGAUCCCGGCCCCGAAAUACAGUGGCGGUCUCGCCGCAGCCUCUCCUGCGCAGUAGUUUGCACAACUCGCACCGGGAGCGCGGCGCGUCCAAGUCCGUAAAACACCCAACUUCUGAAAUGUUGACCUCGGAUCAGGUAGGAAUACCCGCUGAACUUAAGCAUAUCAAUAAGCGGAGGA